AAUCUACCCUUAGGACUGACACAACUCAUCGAAAGGUGGGCUAAUAUCAGAUUAUGCAGCGGCUCCGCAUGGAGACAGUUGUUAAAGCUACGGCGCCUAAGGAUGAGCCUGCGUCCCAUUAGACAGUUGGCGGGGUAACGGCCCACCAAAUCUACGAUGGGUAGCUGGUCUGAGAGGAUGAUCAGCCACACUGGAACUGAGACACGGUCCAGACUCCUACGGGAGGCAGCAGUAAGGAAUAUUGCUCAAUGGCCGAAAGGCUGAAGCAGCAACGCCGCGUGAAGGAUGAAGGGAUUUUUCUUGUAAACUUCUGUAAUGAGGGAAAAAAAUCUCCGAUUUAUCGGAGGAGGAUGGUACCUCGGAAGUAAGCCCCGGCUAACUACGUGCCAGCAGCCGCGGUAAUACGUAGGGGGCAAGCGUUGUCCGGAUUUACUGGGUAUAAAGGGUACUCAGGCGGAUUUGUAAGU
rnacentral:rRNA from 1 species